GACGAACGCUGGCGGCGUGCCUAAUACAUGCAAGUAGAACGCUGAAGGAAGGAGCUUGCUCUUUCUGGAUGAGUUGCGAACGGGUGAGUAACGCGUAGGUAACCUGCCUGGUAGCGGGGGAUAACUAUUGGAAACGAUAGCUAAUACCGCAUAAAAUUGAUUAUUGCAUGAUAGUCAAUUAAAAGGUGCAACUGCACCACUACCAGAUGGACCUGCGUUGUAUUAGCUAGUUGGUGGGGUAACGGCUCACCAAGGCGACGAUACAUAGCCGACCUGAGAGGGUGAUCGGCCACACUGGGACUGAGACACGGCCCAGACUCCUACGGGAGGCAGCAGUAGGGAAUCUUCGGCAAUGGACGGAAGUCUGACCGAGCAACGCCGCGUGAGUGAAGAAGGUUUUCGGAUCGUAAAGCUCUGUUGUAAGAGAAGAACGAGUGUGAGAGUGGAAAGUUCACACUGUGACGGUAGCUUACCAGAAAGGGACGGCUAACUACGUG
rnacentral:rRNA from 1 species